rnacentral:rRNA from 1 species
CCUACGGGAGGCAGCAGUGAGGAAUAUUGGUCAAUGGGCGGGAGCCUGAACCAGCCAAGUCGCGUGAAGGAAGAAGGUACUUAGUAUUGUAAACUUCUUUUGUCGGGGAACAAAGGCGAAGAUGCGUCUUCGGUUGAGUGUACCCGAAGAAAAAGCAUCGGCUAACUCCGUGCCAGCAGCCGCGGUAAUACGGAGGAUGCGAGCGUUAUCCGGUUUUAUUGGGUUUAAAGGGGGCGAAGUCGGGAGAUAAAGUAAGCGGUAAAAUGUCGGGGCUAAACCCCGGCCUGCAGUUGAAACUGGGUUUCUUGAGUGGGAGAGAGGUAUGCGGAAUUCGGGGUGUAGCGGUGAAAUGCAUAGAUAUCACGAAGAACUCCGAUUGCGAAGGCAGCAUACUGGA